rnacentral:lncRNA from 1 species
GAAUAUUGGAGAGAGAACAAAAUUUCUCCAUUCAUCAUUAAUCCACACAGAUAGCAACAUACAAGAAAAUCACAUUCAUCCUCACCAAGAUAAUCUCACCGACCUCACCAUUAAUCUCACAUACACACAUGAAAACUCACGCACGCACAUACAGUGAACGGAAAGCUGGUCGGAUUGAGCAAAAUAGAGAGAGGAGGGAAAUUCACAUGAUAUACGCACACACAUUGCUUCUUUUUUUGGAUUGACACUCCCCUCACCACAUGCACACACAUAGAUUGGAGAAGAGGAGAGAGAUAGAUUGAAAGGGAUAUAGGAAGAAAAUGCCACUGUUGUGGUGGAGAGAGAGAACUAGUCGGAGAGAGGAAAAAUGGAGAGAAGAGGGAGAUAUUUGAGCGAGAGAGGAGAGAAAAGAGACUGGGGUUGACUUUUCUGACGUUCUUGGCCG